AAAAAAAAUCGAGCGUGUGGCCCGCUCAGAGAUUUUGCUAAGCAAAAAUCUUGAGCGGGAUACGAGGAAGAGGGGGUCGAUAUCGUAUCGGCCAAUCGGACCGUUUCUUAUUAAAAAUAGGAGCGAGUAUCAGCGGAAACCCUCUGGGUGUGCGAACAUCCAAGAAAAGAUUAAAAUCAAAAACAGCUAGUAAUAACUGACAUUCAAAGUUUUAAUCUACUUCGUUC
rnacentral:ncRNA from 3 species